GAUGAACGCUGGCGGCGUGCCUAACACAUGCAAGUCGAACGGAAAGGCCAUGCUUUUGCGGGGUGCUCGAGUGGCGCACGGGUGAGUAACACGUGAGUAACCCGCCCUUGACUUUGUGAUAACUUCAGGAGACUGGGGCUAAUACAGGAUAGGAGAUCCUGCUGCAUGGGGGGGGUUGGAAAGUUUCGGCGGUUGGGGAUGGACUCGCGGGUUAUCAGCUUGUUGGUGGGGUAGUGGCUUACCAAGCCUUUGACGGCUAGCCGGCAUGGGAGGGGGACCGGGGACAAGACUACUGAGGGACGGCGCAGUCGGGAACGUGAGGCAAUGGUGGAGAGCAUGACACAGUGAGGGCGAGUGUGUGACGACGGCGUUGGGAUCGUAAAGACGUCCUUCUAGGGAUGAACCGCUUUCGCCUGAGACGUAGCGGGAUUGACGGUAACGGGUAAAGAAGCACCGGCUAACUACGUG
rnacentral:rRNA from 1 species